GAAAGCAUGGGGAGCGAACAGGAUUAGAUACCCUGGUAGUCCAUGCCGUAAACGUUGGGAACUAGAUGUAGGGCCCUGUUCCACGGGUUCUGUGUCGUAGCUAACGCAUUAAGUUCCCCGCCUGGGGAGUACGGCCGCAAGGCUAAAACUCAAAGGAAUUGACGGGGGCCCGCACAAGCGGCGGAGCAUGCGGAUUAAUUCGAUGCAACGCGAAGAACCUUACCAAGGCUUGACAUAGCCGAGAACGCUGUAGAGAUACAGAACUCUUUGGACACUCGGUUACAGGUGGUGCAUGGUUGUCGUCAGCUCGUGUCGUGAGAUGUUCGGUUAAGUCCGGCAACGAGCGCAACCCUCGUCCUAUGUUGCCAGCACGUUAUGGUGGGAACUCAUGGGAUACUGCCGUGGUCAACACGGAGGAAGGUGGGGAUGACAUCAAGUCAUCAUGCCCCUUAUGUCUUGGGCUUCACGCAUGCUACAAUGGCCGAUACAAAGGGCUGCGAUACCGCGAGGUGGAGCGAAUCCCAAAAAGUCGGUCUCAGUUCGGAUUGGGGUCUGCAACUCGACCCCAUGAAGUCGGAGUCGCUAGUAAUCGCAGAUCAGCAACGCUGCGGUGAAUACGUUCCCGGGCCUUGUACACACCGCCCGUCAAGUCAUGAAAGUCGGUAACACCCGAAGCCGGUGGCCUAACCCUUGUGGAGGGAGCCGUCGAAGGUGGGACUGGUGAUUAGGACU
rnacentral:rRNA from 1 species